GUUACGUGUAGGGAGCCAGAGGAACAACAUCACUCAGCCUUCAGACUGCAGGUCCCAGAGCACCUGGAGUCAGGGAGAAGGGCAGGGCAUGUGUCCACAUGGGAGCAUAGAGAUAGCUGCAUACAGAGCUGGGGUUGCCCUGGGAGCUGCUGCCUGCCUCACCAUGACCAUCCUCCUCCUCCUGCAGAGGCACAAAGCAACCUCUGCCAGGACCCAAGAGCAACAGCUAAUGCAGGGGGAUGCCCAGGUGAGCAGCAAAAGAAGUGACAAUAUGCACUAUGCAGAACUCACACUGACAUCUCGGCAGGGUGCUGCACGUGCUCCAAUCUGGAACAAACCACAGGAAAACACAGAAUAUGCCCCUAUCCAGACCCGACCUCUUUAAAGAGCUGGUUCUGAGGGCAGUGUGAAGCCGGCAGAAACAAUGCUAAAUGACCAGGUGCUGUUAGCGACCCUCUCUCCUUUUUAAUGGUCUUGGUCUUCCACUAAUAAAGUCAACCUUUCUUCUUCAGUUCUCCUGCCUGUUAGCUGCUUCUCCUAACCUAGCUCUUAUCUCUCAGCUCUGCAGUCUGUUUUUAACUCUAGUUAGAAACUCAGGGGUAGAAACAUUAACUCAUAGAGAAGGCAGGCUGGAAGGGACCUGUAGAUCAGCUGUAGGAUCAGCCCUUCCCAAACCAUCCUAUAGACCCCAUAAUCUAAACUCUCCAUAAGACUACCAUCAACCCUGAUGCAACACAAGACGUC